GACGAACGCUGGCGGCGUGCCUAAUACAUGCAAGUAGAACGCUGAAGGAGGAGCUUGCUUCUCUGGAUGAGUUGCGAACGGGUGAGUAACGCGUAGGUAACCUGCCUGGUAGCGGGGGAUAACUAUUGGAAACGAUAGCUAAUACCGCAUAAGAGUAGAUGUUGCAUGACAUUUGCUUAAAAGGUGCAAUUGCAUCACUACCAGAUGGACCUGCGUUGUAUUAGCUAGUUGGUGGGGUAACGGCUUACCAAGGCGACGAUACAUAGCCGACCUGAGAGGGUGAUCGGCCACACUGGGACUGAGACACGGCCCAGACUCCUACGGGAGGCAGCAGUAGGGAAUCUUCGGCAAUGGACGGAAGUCUGACCGAGCAACGCCGCGUGAGGGAAGAAGGGUGUCGGAUCGUAAAGCUCUGUUGUAAGAGAAGAACGAGUGUGAGAGUGGAAAGUUCACACUGUGACGGUAUCUUAACAGAAAGGGACGGCUAACUACGUG
rnacentral:rRNA from 1 species